AUUGAACGCUGGCGGCAGGCCUAACACAUGCAAGUCGAACGAGUGGCGGACGGGUGAGUAAUGUCUGGGAAACUGCCUGAUGGAGGGGGAUAACUACUGGAAACGGUAGCUAAUACCGCAUACAAUCAGAUGUGCCCAGAUGGGAUUAGCUAGUUGGGGGGGUAACGGCUCACCAAGGUGACGAUCCCGAGCGGGUCUGAGAGGCUGACCAGCCCCACUGGAACUGAGACACGGCCCAGCCUCCUACGGGAGGAAGCUGGGGGGACUAUUGCACAAUGUGCGCAAGCCUGACGCAGCCAUGCCGCGUGUAUGAAGAUGGCCUUCGGGUUGUAAAGUACUUUCAGCGGGGAGGCGUUACCCGCAGAAGAAGCACCGGCUAACUCCGUGCCAGCAGCCGCGGUAAUU
rnacentral:rRNA from 1 species